rnacentral:lncRNA from 1 species
UUAAGAAUAUUAGUUAGGCAAUGAUCAAAAUAGAAAUUAAAAAAACCCACAAAGUUGUGCAUUUCUCUGUUGGUGAAAAUGUUGUGACUAAAGGGAGCCCAAGUAAGUUUCCCUAAAGUAUCCCUAGAAGCAGUGCUUCAAGAUCCUCCCAUUUGUACUUAUUGUAGAAUAUAUAUUCAAUAAUACAUAUAAAUUACAAGGCAUUUUAUUUAUAAAAUCAUACACACGGAAUAAUAAAUGUUAUUAAUGUCUAAAAGGAUAAGAAAUGGACCACUAAAUUCACUAGCGUAAUACCAUUUUCACUUCAGGGAGAAUCCUCUGUGGACAAAACCGGCCCAAUACCACCAUAUUUAUGUGUUCAUAUUUUGAGUGUGUGGGUGUGGAUGUGUUUGUGUGUGUGUGGGUGUGUUUGUGUGUGUGAGUGUGUGUUUUUGUGUGUAUCUGUGCCCUCAUAGGUUUAUUUUUAUGUAUAGAUUUUGCAUUCAAUUUGAAUUUUCUUCACAUUUCCCAUGAUGUUUACAUCGAUCUCUCCAUUUUAAUUUCAGAACAACAUUAGAGGGAAUAUGCUCAGUCCCUUUGUCAUCAGAAGGUGCAUGGAAAUGAAAUGAUGCUUCCUUUGAUUGCUGAGAUAGUCUUUGAAUUUUGCAGUUCCAAUUCUCAGAAGACAACGAUCAGAAAUAACUUUGGAGGUGUUUGAAAGUUUUGUUUUCCUACUUCCUGGUAUUGUGCCCUCAUCUUGAAUGAAUUCUUUCUUUCUUUUUUUUCAUUUAUUGACCAAUAUAAAGAGGAAACUGAUAAGUCCCAUGAAUGCAUUUCCCCGUGUUGUUAAGCAUGACUUUAUCGGUUAACUGUGCCUUUCCCUUCAACUUCCAAAGAUCAUCUUUCUCAAAUCCAAUACGUGCAUAUUUGCUAUUCAAUCAUCCCUCAAUACUGCUAUUUGAUUUGUCCUGUUAUUGCAGUGUAUUCACAGCCAUUCCUUUUAAGUCGAGCAUUUUUUACUAAUCGUAUGCCUCUGAAGUAAUGGUUUGUCAAAGUGGCCAAAGUGAAAAUUUUGUCCAAGACAUGCUCAAGUCACAUGAUUUAGACCUACUUCAAAUCCAUUAACACGUCUUUUUGCUGAACAUAAUAAAAUCGUAUUUAAGCAUGGAUAAAAGAGAAAC